rnacentral:lncRNA from 1 species
UGAGAAUUUUAGCUGUGCCCACUGAAAGGGAGAAGGGUAUCUGAAUUUGAAUCCAGCCAAAUUAACUCCCUCUUCAAAAAAUAACAACAAUCUUCAAAGGAAUACAACAGAAUCCAGAGUCUUUUGGCAGGAGCAUCCCUGCGAGAGGCCUGACCCAGGUGUGUAGCCCAAGCAGCCAGCCCGGAAAUCCAAUGGGGUGUUCUUGGGGUGCAGAGGAUUUGUGACAGUCCAUACACAGAAAAAGGAAAAGGUGGCUUUGAAGAGGCAAGUGCAAAGAUACCAGAGAUGGGGUAUUGUCAUUUUAGGCAGUGAAUUGACGGUUUCACUUACCAGGGAGCUCCCAUCGUGAGCUCCCAAAAGGCCUAACAACUGCUAGGCCCACGGGUCAUUAGCUCCACCUUUACGGAGAAGCUGCACUAUGCAUGUCAGAAGCGGGGUAGGCAGGGAUGAGGGAAAGGACGGGAUAAGGAAAGAAAAGAUGUGCGCUGAGCUGAGCUGCGGGAGGGUAAACCUAACUACGUAACAAUGAGCAGGCUGUGAGAGGCUCCUUGCCCCUUGCAGAUUUGUGAAAAAUCAAACUUCCGCCCAAGAAGCCGGCAUUUCAGGUAGGGGCGAUGAUGUCACAAUCACAGGUUGAGAUCUGCUGCCCAGGCCAUGCUUGCUCCCCGCAGGCAGGCGAGAUUUCGGAACAGCCAGGACCUCCUCCGCAUGGGGGAACCGCUCUAGACGCUCAGAGGGGCGGAGUUGAAACGGACCUGACUGGCCAGUGUCUCAAAGACGUGGAUGGUGACCAGCUCUCUCCAGAACAGAUGGCGCUCCAGCUUUGUGGGAGAAACUUUCAAGGUGGUUUGGUGACUCUCAAACCAUGAUUCAGCAGACCUGUGAGGCUGUGAGUUCCCUAUCAGAACACAAUCUGCAGGUUGUAUUGUGCCAUAUAUCUGUGUCCAAAUUAUAAGCACAAUGAUGAAUCUUUUACUGGGAGUCAAGAUAUGUGCAGGAUGGUGAAACUUAUCACUGGACCUUUCCACAGUGUUAUUGUCACAUAUACCUUUGUCCAACAUAUGGAGUCUUGCUCUGUUGCCCAGGCUGGAAUGCAAUGAUGCAAUCUCAGCUCACUGCAACCUCCAUCUCCCAGAUUCAAGUGGUUCUCCUGCCUCAGCCUCCCAAGUAGUUGGGACUACAGGUGCUGCCUUCAGGAGGGAUUAUGACAUAUGCCUGGACCAAACACCUGGAUGACGUGACACUCCUGCAUGAGCCUUGCCCUAAGGGGAUAUUUUUACAUGUUGGUGAACUCAGCAUCUAGGUGAUGUGACUCUACUCUUCUGCCUGGGCCCUGCCCACAGAGGGCAUUGGAACAUUUCACUUGGCUCAGCACCAAGAAGAUGUUACUCUCCUACCUGGACCUCUCCCACAGGGGACACCUAGAUGAUAUGAUUUUUCUUCCUGGUUCCUGCCCAGACUUCAAAUUGUGAUGUAUAUCUGGGCCCAAAACACAGGUAAGGUAAUAACUCUCAUAGCUAGACCAAGACAAUAGAGAGAUUUUGACUUUUGUAGCUAGGCUUAGAACAAUGGGUACAUAUUCCUGGCCCAGCUCCCAGGUGAUAUGACCCUCCUACCUAGUUAGUGCUCACAGGUGUGAUUGUUACCUAUGUUUGGACUCAGUUCAUUGUGAGCAUUGUGAUCACUCAUACCUGGACCUAGCCACAAAAAAAUAUGUUGACUCUUAUACCUCAAAAUAGGAGACUCAACCCACAAGAGGUGUUGACUCUUACACCUUUUGCUGGAAAAUGUCCAGGAUUGUGAAUUUCUGCUAUUGAUUGGGUCCAGGUAUGAGUUUCAUUGCUGUGCCUGAGCUGAGUUCAAAAUAAGUCACUAUCUCACCUGUGGCUGCAUCUACAUAUGACAGUCACAAUUCCAAGUCUGGAUUGCAUUUGUGUAUGAGACUUAGGACCUCACCAGUAAGCACUGUCUAUGUGUGAGGGUGACAAUUCUAUCAGCUGGAAGUGCAUAUGAGAGUCACAAUGUCACCUUUGUUCUUGGUCCUGUUAUGACAUUGUAUCACUUGAAGGCUUUAUCCAGACCCAGGACCUUGCCUGUUGCCCUAAGCCUAGAUAUCAGAGUCAAAAUCUGUUCUCUUAGCUGGAUCCAGGUAUGAGAGUCAACAUCUCACCAGUGAGCUGUGACCAUGUAUAUGUCACAAUUUCACCUGUGGGCAGGAACCAGACAUGAGAGUCAUAUCACUUGGGUGCUGGGUAAGUGAUACAUUACAAUUCUUACUUUGGGCAGGGUCCAGGCAACAGAGGAGAGACACAUCACCUAUAUGAUUGGCCCAGCGAUGGGUGAAAAUCCUCUCUGAGAGCAGGGCCCAUUCAGGAGAGUCAUAUCACCUAGCUGCUUGGCCAAGUGAAAUAUCACAAUGCACCCUUUGCACAGGGCCAAUACAGGACAGUUACAUCACCAGGGAGCUGGGUCCAGCUAUAUGUCACAAUUCCUUUUGUGGAAAGUGUCCAGGCAGAAAAGCAGAGUCACAUCACCUAGCCAGUGGGCCCAGAGAGAUGCCACAAUGCCAUUUGUAGGCUGGGCCCUGGGAGAAGAAUAACAUCACCCAGUUCUGGGCCCAGCAAUAUGUUGUGAUCCCAACUGGAAAAAGUUUCCAGACAAGAGAGGAGAAUCACAUCAUCAUGAUGAUAAGCCAAGAGAUUUCACAAUCCCCCCCUCUGCACAUGUCCCAGGCAGAAGACCUGAAUUACCUUUUUACUUAGGCCAGUAAUGUCACAGUGCUUCCUCAGGGCAGGGCACAAACAAGAUAGGACAGUCACAUCAUUAAGUGCUAGACUUAAUGCUAGAUAUGUCAUAACCUUACUUGUGGGCAGGAUCCAGGAAGGAGAGAUUUAUGUCACCUAGGUGCUCAGUAAAGAGAUAUAUUACAAUUACAAUUCCUUUGAGGGAAGUGGCCAGGCAAAAUAGUCACAUCACCUAGGUGCUUGGCCCAGGUAUAAGUCACAAGAUAUCUGUGUGUUGAGCCCAGAAGGACUAUCAAAUUACGAAGUUUCUACGUAGAAGUGCAUGUCACAGACACCUGCAGGAAGGCCCAGGAAUGAGACUCCCAAUUCCACACAUUUUCCCACUCCAAGUGUAAGAGUCAACAACUCCUGAGACUUAGGCCCAAGUACAUGAGUCACAAUCUCAACAGUGGAUUGCAUCCUGCCAUGAGAGCCCCAAUCCCUUCUCUAAGCUGUGUUCCAGUAGAGGAGUCACAACAUCAAUGGUGUGCUGAAUCCUGGUUGGAGAGUUCCCACUUCACCUGUGGACUGGAUCUGUAUAUGAGAGUCUCAAUUCCAGCUCUCAACUGCCCCUGGGUGUGAGAUUCAGGACCUCAAUUGUGAGCUGUGUACACAUGGACAUGUAACAAUUUCUACUUUUGGCUGUGUGUUCAUACAAGACUCAAUCUCAUCUGUGUUCUCGGCCCUGUUAUGACACUCUUUGUACCACCCAUGGGAUUUAUUCAAUACGCAUGGGUGUCAUAAUCCUCUGUGAUCUUCAUACAAGUAGAAGACCCAGGACCUUACCCAUGGCCCUAGGCCUAUCUAUGAGAAUUGACAUUUUUCCUCACAUUUUUAAUUUUAACAAAUAAGUUAUUCUCCUGUCAGUUCAGAUUCAUCAGGACAUUGAAUCAUAUUCAGAAGAAUUAAAACUGAAAGACUAAUAGGUUUGUUAAAGCAAUGCAGGUUGUCAUACUAAUAAACCCUAAAAUUUCAAAGGCUUAGCAAAAUAAUACAUUUUCUGCUUACAUCACCAUCCCCUUUGGCUUAUUUCUGGUUAAGAGAACUUCUUUGUGAUUAUUCGGAGAUUAGAUUUUUUUAAAAUUUCCUAUCUGCACUCUCUCUUUCUUCAGCCAAUAGAUGAAAAAAGAUGCAAAGAAGACACAUUUGCUUUUUAUGCACACAUCACUUCCAGUCACUAUGUUGAGCAGAGUCAGUGUGAGGACAAUUGAGAAUAGCAGUUUUCUGGCAGGACAGCCACUUCUCAGCAGAAGAUGACACAAUAAAAGUAUAAAUCUUUCAUGGGAGGCUCACAUAUUUUCAGCAAAUUAAGCAUAUGCAUGAAUAAAAUUCUUGUGGUAAAAUAAAG